rnacentral:rRNA from 1 species
GUGACAUGCGGAAGGAUCAUUGUCGAA